GGCCGCGGCGACCUUAUAUACUGCGGCUCGAGCAUGCGCCACCUUGUGGUCAGUACGAGAUGGCAGUACGAGAUGGCCGAUAGAAAGGCAACCGGCUAAGUAUCCCAGCAAUUAUGCCAUGGUAUAGGAUGAUUAUGCUUGAAUUAUGGUUGCUGUAUUGGUGAACCACACGAUAGCAGACUAAAAAAGAUCGUUUCCUUUGUAAACAUUUCGUGUGCUGCAAAGAACAGAGCAGGCAGCAUCCCAAUCCAUCAGCUUCAUGUUAUACGGCCUCAAAGCUUGUAUAUACCAGACCAGAAGGUAUUCCUCCAAUACCUAAUCAUUAUAAAGACUGAGAAAAUGCUAGCCAGAAGCAGAAAAGGCAUUAUUGCCCUCGAUUGUACUACAUGCUCUUUCUUGGAUUGUUUGUUUUCAUUAGUUAACUCGUUGGCUGCCUCCAGUCUAAAAAUUUGGUCUCGUUGCCAAUUUAGUUUUGGCACCAUACUUUCCUGCCAGAAGCCAUUCUAUAGUGAUCUGUUGGAGGAGGUUGAUCCAAAAUAUUCAAAUUCACCGGCCGAUUUGCACGAAAUGUGGUAACCCCUUUUUGGAGAUCGAGAGCCUUGCUGUGCUUAUGCAAAUGUUACAGUUCUGUUGAUCGUUCGACAUUCCAAGGUCUUUUUUCGGGACAGGCUAAAAGGAAGUGUGUGGCACUGGCAAAUGAUGCCAGAUUAUGACAAACAAAUCAAGCCUAGACGCACAUUUAUUCCACACCCAUCUCCUUAUCCUUCGUGAUCAGAUUACUCCUUUUCAAAUCGACUUUGUCGGCAAGAAAAUCAGUCUGGAUUUCAGUUAAAACAAAAAUUAGGACGAAUCUUCAACACUCCAUUUGUUACGUCCCUGAACUCGAGAGUUUACCGCUUCUGUGCUGUUAAAAAGCCGUGGUAUUGUUUUCGACACAACAGCUUUGUUCUUUGAUCAUUGAUGUUAUUUUGUGUGAUUUUGCGGUAUGAUUGUUAUGCUUUGGUUCCAAUAAAU